GAAAUUUAACGGAUUUGGCGGCAAGAUAGCCCCUUAGAGGAACCUGCCCUAUAAACGAUGAACCACGAAGAGACGUUACUUUUUUUUGAAAUCAGUUUGUAUAUCGCUGUUGUCAGUUAGAUUCCGAAGAAUAUUUUCAUUUAUGAAAAGGUCAUUGACUUCAAGUAAAGGUGCAGCUUAUAGAAAAGAAAGAGGUGGGUUACAUUUAAAAGAAUAAUACGGAUAAGAUGAAUGAAGGAAUCUUUGAAGGUGGAUUUAACUGUAAAAUUUAAUAAAAUUUGGUGAGAGCUCUAUCUUGUGUACACACCGCCCGUC
rnacentral:rRNA from 1 species